GACGAACGCUGGCGGCGUGCUUAACACAUGCAAGUCGAACGGAAAGGCCCUUCGGGGUACUCGAGUGGCGAACGGGUGAGUAACACGUGGGUGAUCUGCCCUGCACUUUGGGAUAAGCCUGGGAAACUGGGUCUAAUACCGAAUAGGACCACGCGCUUCAUGGUGUGUGGUGGAAAGCUUUUGCGGUGUGGGAUGGGCCCGCGGCCUAUCAGCUUGUUGGUGGGGUAAUGGCCUACCAAGGCGACGACGGGUAGCCGGCCUGAGAGGGUGACCGGCCACACUGGGACUGAGAUACGGCCCAGACUCCUACGGGAGGCAGCAGUGGGGAAUAUUGCACAAUGGGCGCAAGCCUGAUGCAGCGAUGCCGCGUGAGGGAUGACGGCCUUCGGGUUGUAAACCUCUUUCACCAGGGACGAAGCGUAAGUGACGGUACCUGGAGAAGAAGCACCGGCCAACUACGUG
rnacentral:rRNA from 1 species